ensembl:lncRNA novel transcript
CGACUUGGCGGCGGGUGCCAUGCGUCUGGAGCUUCACAUUCUCUGCCCCCCACCCACCGCGCCGGCGCUCCCUUGUCACGCCUCGGGAAGCGCGCACCUGCCAAGCAGGUGUCCAAGGCAGGGUUGAUGAAAGAAUCGCCUAGGAAAGUUACGCUGAAAAUUGUCGGGAAAUGGAAGGAUUCAAGAGACAUUUGAAAGACAGAAUUGGUACUAUUGAAUGACCACUUGGACACAGGGGAUGAAAAUGAGGAAAUAUAGAAGGACUAUGACUAGAUGGGGAUGCCAUCAACACAAGAAAAGGAGGAGGAACAGAUUUGAGAAGACACUAUUCUUACUGAGUAUCACCACUCAUUUUUAUGAUACUUCUAGCAGGAUGAAUAAUCUGAUAUCAUGUGAAAUGAGGAAAUAAGAAGCUUUCUGCUGACUUCAUUUUGACCCAGGGUCCAAAAGGUGAUGUAAUCCUGUGGCAAGAAGAUUCAAAACUGUGGACUAUCUUGCAAAAAAUACAAGAAGAUAUUGAAAGUUUUCAUGAGUGCCUACCACCUAAUCUCAAACACUAUCAUUCAUAUGUGCCUCAUUGAGCAAAUCUUUAAUGAGGAUCUAUAUGCCAGAAACAGAAAGUACAUGAUGGACUUCAUUGAAGGAUGGAGAUUUGGAAGACAUGAAUGGAUGAAGAACCAAGUGCGUGAGGGCACCUAUCAGGAUUAUUGCUGAAAUCCUUAUGGAGUUAACUGGCUGAGAGGAAGGCAAGCAAGCGAGGACUGAUGGGCCCUUGGCACUGUGAGAACAGUGGAGGAGGAGGGAGCAGGGUUCAUAAGGAGGAGCACAAACAGAAAGUUCAGUGGCCCCAAUAAAAAUAACACCAGAAUCUUCCAGAUACUUUCUCCAUAAGGCGAAAAGUAGAGAUGGGGUUUCACCAUGUUGCCCAGGCUGGUCUCAAACUCCUGAGCUCAGGCCAUCUGCCCGCCUCGGCCUCCCAAAGUGCUAGGAUUACAGAAGGUGCCUGCUUCCCCUUCACCUUCCACCAUGAUUGUAAGUUUCCUGAGGCCUCCCCAGACAUGUGGAACUAACAGGUUUCUCUUAUUGCCUGGAUCCAAGAGCAUCUCCUGGGUUCUUCCUGUUAGAAUACUGAAUGUCCAUGGAGAGUUUAACAUAAGGAAGAAGAGGCCUGUCUCCCAGCUGAAACUGGUGCAGCAGAUCAUGCAAAGUAAAACCUCAGCAGCUGUGAUGAAGUAGAGCAGAGGGCCUGGGUGUCUGUCAGCUCCAAGCGGAAGAUUUCCCCAGCUUUCUAGGUAACUGUGCUUCCACUGAGCAAGCCAGACACAGACUUGAAUGUCAUCACAAUCUGUGCCUGUGACAUCUUUCCCCAAGAAUAGCACAAAUUGAACUUUUACAUUCUUCAUAAUAUGGAAGGAAAGGUAUUGACUGAGCCACUUCUUUAUGCCUCAAGACAUCUCAUAUGUAUUUAUAUGGAUACAUACAUGAAUGUAUAUAUUCUGUCAUAAUAACAUAUUCUAUUUUUCUUAUUAUAGCACAGUGUUAGGAUAGGCUACAUAGGCUGCAUUAAACCCUCAAAUAGAAGUUUAUAUUAUGCAUCAGAAGCCAGUGCAGGGACUCUCCUCAGCACAACAUCUCUAAGUGGUGACUUGGAGGUUCAGGCUCCUUUCAUCUUAAAAUGCCAUCAUCUUCAGCAUUUGGCCUCAACAGUUGCCAGAGAGGGAGAAGAGAGUAUGUAUAAGACCACACUGCAGGAUCUGUGUUAGGUCUGCAAGCACUGCUGUCACCUCUGCCAAAUCCCGUUAGCCAGAACCCAAUCAUAUGGCCCCAUCCUAACUGCAAGGGAAGCCUGGGAAAGGUCUUCUUGUAUGCCAGGAAAAGAAAAUGAAAUCGACAAGUAUCUAGCCAGUCUUUGCUACAAGUUUCUACAUGUUGGAAUUAUUAUCUAUAUUUUUCUUCUGAUCAUGCUUAGCAUUUGAUACUAUGUAGACUGCCUUGUUGAGUCCUGCUGUAUUUUGUGACAUCCACAUGCAGCAUCCCAUUCCUCACAACAGGACUAGGAGUGGUCAGAAGUUUUAUCACCCACUUUAUGGACGGAAACCCUGAGACCCAGAGCAGUUACAUGGCUUGUCCAAAGUUACAUAGUACUGUUAACUUAAAAACACAAUUUAUAAAUUUAGACAAAGAAAGAGGAGACUUUAUUUCUUAUAAAGGGUUAUAGCCUUCAAAGUGGCUAUCUCACAGGCUGGGAAGCUCAGCCUUCAGCAGAAGCCCAGAGACAAGCAUUUUGAAGGCAGAGGGGUUGGGAUGGAGCUUUAUGCUGAACAGGUUGACUAAAUAUACAUAUUCAACAGGUUACAGGAGGAGCUAUGAAUAUUCAUGAGGGUGGUCCUGACACAUGCGUAUUGAACAAACAUACAUGUAACACAUGACCCAUGUUCACUUUGGGAUGGAGACUUAACAUUUCAAUGUAUUACAGUUAGGCCCUACACAUCAAAAGGUCAUUUCAGGACACAAAAGCUCACAAGUACACAAUCUCUGUAAACUAGUCAGAACCAGUCCAUGGUUGGUGGUCUUAUCAGGAAAAAGUUACUAAAAUUAGUCUCUCAUCCAAUGAAAGCUGUAGUUAUGGCUGGUGGAACAGGGGUUCAGUUGGGCAGAGUCUAUGAGCAGGAUGAUUUGCAAUUGUUUAAAUAUUGCUUAUCUUGAGGCCAGUGCUUGUUUAGCUGCUGGAGAAAAAGAAAAUCCUUGUGGCAGUUAGAGCAUAGUUUCUUCCUUAGGUGUAGGAGUACAUGACUUCCCCUCACCUGGCAUGGCCUUAGGUCCUGUUUAUAAUUCGGUAUCUUAUUGCCACAAAGAAUCUGUUCUGUGAGUCAUGUGAUCUCUAUUGGAACAUUAAUGCUGCUCAGUUGUUGUGUCUAAACCAUAAAAGAGAAGGAGAGUAUAAUUAGGCAUGUCUGACCUCUCAUCAUAGCUGGGAACUAAGUCUUUAAAUUUUUUUCUGGGGUCCUCUUGGCCACAAGGGGGUCCAUUUAGUCAGUGGGGGCCUUGGGAUUUAUUUUUAGUUUACAUUGCUAAGUGACAGAGCUUUGCUUCUUUCACUCUGAGGUUAGUGGUCUCUCUGCUGUGCCACAUUGUCUUCCCCAGAAGCUCAAACUGGAUGCCCAGCCCUCAGUGUACAAACUCAAGUAUGCAAGAAAUACAUCUUUAUUCUUUUAUGAAUAUACCUAAUUUAUAUGUUGG